AUUUCAUCAACUGGGGAAAUGAUAUGGCACUGAUGAUAAAUUUAAGGCUUGUUUCUCAAAACAUUCGCAAUUGCCGCCUAAGAGCUUUCGCCCAGCCAGGCUUGAGAGCUAAUGCUGCUAAUUCCUUCCUUGGAUGUCUGAGCCUUGUUAACAUCCCCAUUGUUAUCAUUGUUUCUAUUUUGGUUUGUUGUCUAAAUUCCUUGUUUUUUUGCAUUGCGCAAAUGUUGACAGUUGCUGCCAAAAGUUUUUGCCCUACCAUAUUUGAGAGCUAAUAUUGCUAGAUCCUUCCUUUGAAUCUCUUAAGGCCCUUAAGCCUUCAAUGUUGAAAUUUUCUUAAAAACAUUGAUACUUGGUGCUCUGAUUUUGACAACUGUGAUGAGCCAAUUUUACAGUUACAGACCUGUAAUGACUCCUGCGGAAAUGAUCGCAUGGUCAAAGAACAUCUAAGGGACUGAGUUGUCUUUGUAUUUUGGAUCUUUGCUGUCUUGCUUCUAUUAAUGGUAUUCAAGCCUGUAAACUAAUAUCUAUGGUUCCCGGGCAAUGAGAAGAUAGUAAGCAGAAAGCAACCGCAGUCCAGCGCAGAACUUCUGACGUGAAUAGAUGAAGGAACUGUAUUGCUUUCUCUUUUGAUGAAUUUGACUGAAUCAUAACAACAAACAUGCAGUACGAUGGGAUGGGAUGUUAAAAGCAUGUAAAUGUCAAACUAUGGCUUAGCUUCUAUUUCUCAUUCCAAGUUGUUAUAACUGACAAACGAACCGCCGUUCUGGAAGUGCCCUGGCCUUAUUUGAACAAUUCAAACCACAACUCUGGAGAAGCGCAACAAGGAUAUGGAAGUUUGAUUUAUGAAACCAGGAAACCACGCCUCUUUACAAGAAGGUAGGUUCGGAAAAAUAGAGCCAGUCCUUGUAGUCUAAGCAUGGAUCGACCGUGGUGGCAGAGAAGGAAGGUCCCGAGGCUGAUGGUGUGGUGAUAGUAGAGGGAGGAGUGAUCCUUGUAUCUCCAGUUUUUUGCUCGACUGAGGUCUGACGGGGACGCUCAAUGAAAAAUUCCAUGUCUCCUUUUUUUUCCCUUGUGAAUUCAUUAAUCUUGCUGUGCAAAGGUGUCAAAUGAUGUAAAAUAUGAAGUAGCUGGUUCCCUUUGAAGUUUGGUAUGUUUACAGAACUCUGCUUAUAAUCUGAACGAAGUGCU
rnacentral:rRNA from 1 species